CAGCCGCCACGGUAAUACGAAGGGUGCAAGCGUUACUCGGAAUUACUGGGCGUAAAGCGUGCGUAGGUGGUGGUUUAAGUCCGUUGUGAAAGCCCUGGGCUCAACCUGGGAAUUGCAGUGGAUACUGGGUCACUAGAGUGUGGUAGAGGAUAGUGGAAUUUCCGGUGUAGCAGUGAAAUGCGUAGAGAUCGGAAGGAACAUCUGUGGCGAAGGUGACUAUCUGGGCCAACACUGACACUGAGGCACGAAAGCGUGGGGAGCAAACAGGAUUAGAUACCCCUGUAGUCCCUGUCUCUUAUAC
rnacentral:rRNA from 1 species